AUAGACGUUCAUAUCUUGUCCAUAUCGCGUCCGUCCGUCUAAGACCAGUUCUGUACCCAAAAAUGACGUGCAAAAUAGGUAUACUAUUUUGACGUCAAACUAUGAGGUCCAUUAGACGUCUGAAUAUAGUUAAUCAUUUACCCAAUGGGGACUGCCUAAACAGAUGUGUCAAAAAAAAUAACACAUUGGGAUGUGUAGACAGCAUUGACAGAUUAUGUGUCAUUUUUGUGUAAGAUUUCACAGAAUGUGUGAAACCUGAAGUUAAGAGAUUCAUUUCUGGGUCGUGCUACAACAAGUGAGAAACUAACGGCCGUUUGGCUGUCCAAUCGCGUGACUGUGGACAUUUGAAAGCAGACUUCCGCCCGCCUUUUCUACCGUUGGAAAUGCAAGAUGCGGCGACUUGACUUCAGACACCGAGAGAGGCUGGCGGCCCAGGUCUUGUGGCCACAUCUGUCCAAGCUCCUACUCUGAUUGAACAGUUGGAUGAUCAGACUGAUGAUGAAAAGUGCUACACAGUUCUCACACAUCUUCUGACUCCGAAGCCGCUGCAGUGUAAAAUCUGAGAUGUCUUUUCUGGUUGAUUUUGUGCAGAUUUCUGACAGCGACAGCGAUGGUGAGGGAAGCAGUGUACCGAACUCUCAGAUGACUCGGACCAGGUGACCAAACCCAUGCAAAGCACAAUGACUGUGCUGAGGCGUUCCGCCCCCCUCCCCCUCCACACCACUCAAGGCACGGCGGCGGCCCAACCGCAAACUAACGGAGAUUAACAUGAGGCUGGAUGCGCUUGGCUCCCUGCUGCGUCCAUCACCAGAGGGGCCGGGAUUGCUGCGGCAGCUAGCCAAUUAAAGGAGGAGGAUGAAGGAGAGGAGUCUGACGAUGCCGACAUCGCCAUCGUAUGCAGUCCACGCCCUCGCAGGAAAACCAGCCAAUGAAAACGCUUGCAGCAGCAUCAGCAGAACACACCGGCACGACUGACAGAGCUUCUGAAGCAUGCAGUGGAAGACCUGUCAGUCAAGCUAAAGGUCCCGCCCUCCAACCUGCUGCUGCUGCACGGAGAGGCGGAACUUAACACCUCACACACUAUUGGCCAGCUAGGACUCUGCAUCGCUGACAUCUUUGUCUGGAACCAACUUCACAUCCCUCUUCACUGCACUACUGACACUGAGAUGGAAUCCACAACCCAACCACUAGUGGUCUGCAUUGGGAACCUGAAGAGUCUGUCAUAACCGCCAGGAAUGACCGUGUGACCAUUCCCGUUGCAGACGGCCUGACUUGCACAAUUGACAAGCUGUUCAAGCUUUACUGGGUCUGCAACUUGUUAUAUCCAGCACAGCUCAGCUCUGUUUUCACCUUCUUUGAAUAUGUUUAUGACGUUCCCAUCUCAACCAACAAACGAACAAAGGCACUACAACUUCUCUCAAAGCUUCCCAGCAGAAUUAUUUUGAUUAUG